ACCAACUUUACUUAGAAAGCCAUUUCCUUUUUGCCGAUGAAAGAAUCAAGUGCACUGUGUGAGAGGCUUGAAUUCAUAAUUCAAUGUAGGUGAAAGAUAAUGUGCGCCAGAUCUGGCGUUGGAAAUUGAUAAUUCUAAAUGGAAGGCCAUGGAAACUACCUUUUAGAACAUGUUGAACAUGAUAAAAAAUGAAUUAUGGCUGAAAUAACGGCUCUCAAUGAUGUACCUUCGCGAAUGGAUUUGUUCAAUGUUCUACAGAGCUUAUUGAGAUAUGAAGGACUGCUACAAAUGUUGAACCCUAAAUUGGAGCAGCAUUUAUAAUGUAAAAAAGAAAUACAGAAUUUGUAAAGUCAAAAA